ACUUCGCACUUAGUCCCUUUAAAAGAUUUGUUUUAUUUAUAACAAUAACGAUAAAUAUUGUAAAAUUUAUAUAAAACGAACAAUGUAUACUAUCGAACGAGCUUAUAUUUAUAUUUUGUACAUCUUGUAUGUAGGUAAAGACAAUCAAUUACAGGGUGUCCCCCGAAACAUGACAGUAACAAGACAACUUGAAGACGACUUUCAUGUGGGACAACCUGUAACUUAUCAGUUACUUCAAUUUUUCACAGUCUGCAUUUAUUUGAUUUAAUUUCAUUUAUUUUUGAAAUAAUUUUGUUUUAUUAUGUAAAUUAUUUAUUGUACUUUGUUUGUUUAAAUAUGAAAAUUAAGAGAAUGCAAUUUUUAUUCUAACUUUCGUGUUUUACAUUUAGUUCUUGAAUUUAAUCUUAAUUUUAUAUUUAUACUUUUUCUUGUAUUUCUUUAAAAUGACAUAUAUAUCAAAUAUAGUAUCUCGUAGUAAACAAUAUAAUUUCGCAGGGAAUGAAAUGUCGUCUUCUAGAGAUAAAUUGUUGUAUUUGUGAUUUUUUGUACGAUUCUUGAAACCAUUAAAUGAAUAGUCCUGGCAAUUCAAAAUGUUGUCGACCUUUUUUUUUGCAAAAUUAUCGAAAAUAGAAAAAUCUGGUUCAAUUUUUCAAAUGAACCCAGAAUAGUCAAACUUUAAACAUUUUUGUAAUUUUUAAGACGCAAGCUUAAUUUGAUUAUAUUUGUUUCACAAUUGUAUGCUUAAUUUUAUAUUAUUUAAUUCUUUGAAAGUUUUUGUUUCCGAUAAAUGAAUUUAGAUCACAGUGACGUCAUCUAGUGAAUCUAAAAAGUACUUUUUUCUUAAAGGGAAAGUAAACGUAAUAUCAUGUAACCCUGUAUUUAAAAGACGGCUUGUCAAUUUGGAGUUCUUUAUAAAAAUUGACUUGCGCAUUUCUGCACACUCAACAACGGGGUUUAAUUGUCAGAAUCAAACGUUUUUCAAUCUAUGAACAAUAUCUAUAACCACAGUGUUAAUAAAACUAAAGUUUAACGGAUACCUUUGCAGAUCGACAUGUCCCUCUUUUAAUGGUUGGUCACUUGAACUGCUUGGAAUACUUGAAAUUAAAGUCCCUUGAAGUUUGCUUGACUGCUUGGAAUAUAUUAUUAUUAUUAUUAUUAUUAUAUAAUAUAUAUAUUUUACUUGUGA